rnacentral:tRNA from 1 species
UGGGCAAUGAGGGACUCGAACCCCCGACAUCCACCGUGUAAAGGUGGCGCUCUAACCAACUGAGCUAAUUGCCC